UCCAUGCCCAAUUAAUUUAAUCAAUUUUACCACAAACUUUUUGUAUUAGACCCUGACCCUUCAUCUACCCUUUCAGAUACUGGUCCAGAUUCAUCUCUCAGUAAAUAGAUACACACAUUUUCGAAAGGUUUUCUAUACAUACAACAGUCAAAUCAGGAAAUUGAGUUGGGAUUUGAUUUGGGAUUUAAUUGUAUAAACAUAUCAAGUUUAGAGCAUUCAGGGGAGAAUUAUGAACUUCAAAAACUUCGGAAAUCAGCCAACGGAUAGCAGAAAUGGGAGCGGCCGGCCACCGGGGAACUUCCCGUUGGCGAGGCAAGGUUCGAUCUAUUCGUUGACCUUUGAUGAGCUACAAAACACCAUGGGAAGCAUCGGAAAAGAUUUUGGGUCAAUGAACAUGGAUGAAUUACUAAAAAACAUCUGGAACGCCGAAGAAAUGCAAACAACGGGAUCUAACUCCGGCGCCACCGUUCAAGAUCGCGGCGGAGCUGGUGGAGCAAAUUUACAGAGACAAGGAUCGUUAACACUCCCAAGAACAUUAAGCCAAAAAACAGUCGAUGAAGUUUGGAAAGAUUUAUCAAACAGCAACGGAUUCGGACACCCGAAUUUGCCCCAAAGGCAGCAAACUCUCGGAGAGAUGACUCUCGAGGAGUUUCUGGUUAAAGCCGGCGUUGUUCGGGAAGAAAUUCAAUUAUCCGGUAAACCAAAUGAUGACGUGUUGUUCUCCGAUUUAACAAAUUCUCAAAAUAACAACGGGUUUGGUGCUAUCGGAUUCCAACAGGCGGUAGGUGUAGGUCAGAAUUCCGCCAUUGAUGAUCCUCGUAGUAAUCAAAUUUCAUUCCAGUCUGCAAAUCAACAAAUGAACGGCAAUGGGGUUCGAUCUAUUUUACCCUACGGAGCUCCUCCGGUCGCUAUUCCAAGAAACAAUCAUUUAGGUAGUCCUGUAAUCAGGAAUGGAGUCGUGGGUGUAGGUCUUUCCGAUCCGAUGAUGAACAAUAACACUUUAGUUUCAGCCGCCACUCUACAAGGCGGGAUGGCAGGGAUGGGUGGCGGCGGUGGUGGUGGUGGGGUCACAGUUGCCACCGGGUCUCCGGCGCUUUCAUCGGAGGGGUUAGCGAAGAGUAAUGGUGAUACGUCGUCUGUAUCACCUGUUCCUUAUGUUUUUAAUGGAGCUUUCCGGGGAAGAAAAAGCGGUGCGAUUGAGAAAGUCGUUGAACGGAGACAGCGGCGGAUGAUCAAGAACCGAGAAUCGGCUGCCAGAUCUCGGGCUCGUAAGCAGAGUCUCCGUUGUAAUUUGAUAGAUAGAGAGAUACGAUUGAGAUGUUUCACGCAAGGAUGUCAAUUCGCAUCAGGCAUAUACAAUGGAACUUGAAGCAGAAGUAUCGGAAUUGAAACAGAAGAACCAAGAACUGAAACGGAAACAGGCUGAGCUACUAGAAAUGCAGAAAAAUCAGCAGGUGAUGGAGAUGAUGAACAUGCAACCAGGGACAAAACGACACCGUCUAAAAAAAACACUUUCUGGGCCAUGGUAAAUAGUGUUUAUUUAUGUACCCAAUCAUCAACUGGUGCAUGUAAAUAAUAAAUAUAUGUUUUCGUUAGGUAAAAAAAGUCGGUUCUUUAUACUACAUGAAGUAGAGUAGUUAAAGUUACAACAUAUAAUAUAUUAAUAUAUUAGGUAGUAGUGAAAAGAUUGAUUACACUGUGUGUAAUCCAUUUGUUUAUUUUGUUAGGAUGAUGAUUAGUUAUGUAAAAGAGUGUGGCUCUUUUGUUU